rnacentral:rRNA from 1 species
GAUGAACGCUAGCGAUAGGCCUAACACAUGCAAGUCGAGGGGCAUCACAUGAAGUAGCAAUACGGAUGGUGGCGACCGGCGCACGGGUGAGUAACACGUAUGCAACCUGCCUUCAACAAGGGGAUAACCCGUUGAAAGACGGACUAAUACCCUAUAACACAGGGGUCCCGCAUGGGAAUAUUUGUUAAAGGACAACCGGUUGAAGAUGGGCAUGCGUUCCAUUAGCUAGUUGGCGGGUAACGGCCCACCAAGGCAACGAUGGAUAGGGGAACUGAGAGGUUUAUCCCCCACACUGGUACUGAGACACGGACCAGACUCCUACGGGAGGCAGCAGUGAGGAAUAUUGGUCAAUGGACGCAAGUCUGAACCAGCCACGUCGCGUGAAGGAAGACGGCCCUACGGGUUGUAAACUUCUUUUGCAAGGGAAUAAAGUGGGCCACGUGUGGCCUUUUGCAAGUACCUUGCGAAUAAGGAUCGGCUAACUCCGUG